rnacentral:pre_miRNA from 1 species
CACGACUUGCUGCGGCUGGUCAAACGGAACCAAGUCAGGUGUCCCAGUGAGGUUUGGUCCCUUUCAACCAGCUACAGCACGAUCGCAAA